AUGCCUUCUAUCUAUAUUAAUGUCACCUUGGCCUUCAUUACAUCUCUAGCAGGAAUAAUAAUUUACCGAUCUCAUCUAAUGUCUCAUUUCUAUGUCUAGAAGGCAUAAUGCUGUCAGUAUUCAUCAUGAGCAUCCUUAUAACCUUGAAUUUACAUUUCAUUUUAGCAUCCAUAUUACCCAUUAUCCUUCGCAGCCUGCAAAGCCACCAUAGGCUUAGCCUUACUAGUUAUGGUCUCCAGCACCUAUGGCCUAGACUAUAUAUAAAACUUAAACCUUCUUCAG
rnacentral:lncRNA from 1 species